ACGCAGCAGUCUCAAGUAAAGCUGGAUUUCUCUACCCUCUUCUUUUACCACUUGGAGAUGUGCCCUGGGGUCAAGAUAUUCACCUACUUGUGAAGGCUUUGGGGUGCCAUAGGGAUCAAUGGAAUAAUAGAGAAAGGAAAAGAAGUAGUGGAAGCAUUGGGUGAUGAAGUUUUAGUAGAAAUCAAUAAUGAUAACAAUAUGGACAAUAUCGUCUCAUUGAAAGAUGAGAUUUUAGGAGGAGAUGGUGUGAUUGUGCUUAAAGUUGGUAUGAAGUUCGAAAAUAAGAAAGAGUUGUUUGAAUUUUAUAAGAGGUAUGCAUAUGACAUAUGUUUUCCAGUUAGGUGGAAGAAUUCUAGAAAGGGAGAAGAUUGAGUAGUGAAUUAAGUUACAUUGACAUGUUGUCGUGAGGGACGGAGAAGCAGCAAGGCAAGCGCUUCUUUGAAGCCACAACCAAUAAUUCAGACACAUUGUAAAGCAAAGCUUAUUGCUUCUUCAAAUUUUCGGUCACAUUUCGUUCAGAGGAUUGCAAUGUUAUUUACAGUUGUCAUUUAUCCGAGUUUCGUGGAAUUUUAUGUAGACAUGUCAUAUUAGUGUUGAUGCGUAAUGGUGUACAUCACUACCAAAGAGGUACAUAUUAAGGAGAUGGACACAAGAUGUUAGUAGAGCCCACACGAUAGUCGUUGUGAAUUACGACGGUCUGGUUAGCACUCCUAGCCAGUUGAGGUAUGGGCUCCAAUCUAGAGCAUCAUAUGACACUGGCAGCAGUAGCAUACAAAGAUCCUAAAUGCUUAAAAAAAGAAGCGUACGCUGAAGAAAUUUUGCCAUAAAAUCUCAUUGGAGUUGAGCUCGAAGAAAAUAAAGGCAGGAUCGACUUCCAACAAAGGACAGAGAUUGAAAGUGAGGAAAAGAAAUCUUCGACUCGACGCACCUAUCGUUUAGUCCUCGCCGCAAGCACAAUAUUCGAUGCUAACACGGGCGACGAGGAAAGUCACGCACUAACACGACAAUUGCCAUCAACAAAUUUUAUUCCUCCAUCAAGGACAAAUGUUUUGUUCAAAUAUCGCGAUGAGUAUAUGGUUUCAAAUGUGUAUUUAGCAUACUCUUCCAAAUUUUGUAAUUGGGACAGCAAGUAGAACCUCUUCAAAAUCUUCCGCAGUUUGAUAUUUUCAUGUUUAUGUUAGGUAAUACAAUGCCAUAUUACUAUCCUGAUUUGUCGUACAAUGUUGGAACACAAUUGGGAAUCGCUGAGGAGACACUGAGACCAUCCACAAUGGGUGUUUUCCCUCUUGGAUUUCAUGGUCCAUCACCUCCACCAACCAACAUAGCGGGUUGGAUGUCCAAUGCCACCCAUACCAUUCUUUAUGUUGUUGUUGCGGAGGUCAUUCUAGUCUCGUUCAAAAUCCAAGUUCUGGAAUGGCUCGUCAAGAUCUUGCAAGUGAUAUUGCAAUAACCUCUCAAGAUGCUGGUUCAUCAAGGAGACUACUAUUUAAUCCUUGUAAUGCGACUCAAUAGGCAGGUUAUGAAAGCAAUUUUUGAAGAAUUUUGAUUGUAAUUUAAGCUAAAGGAUUUCGGUCAUGGAAAUAUAAAUAUGUAAUGGAAAUAUGGAAACAUCAUUUGGGGGUCUGUACAUAUG